GGCAGAAUGUUGGGUUUUUAUCGAGCUUUUAUGAUGCAGAAGUUGUCAAUGUUGCUGUUUUUUGUUCUUUUUUACAGUAUAACGAGUUCUGCAGAUCUGAACUCCGACCGGGAUGCUUUACUGGCGUUACGAGCCGCUGUGGGUGGUCGGACUAUGUUAUGGAAUGCUUCUAACACAACCCCAUGUAAUUGGGCUGGUGUUUUAUGUGAGGAUAACCGUGUUACUGUUCUACGGUUACCGGCGGCGUCACUUACCGGUGAGAUUCCGGUG
rnacentral:misc_RNA from 1 species